CGGCGGGCGGCGGCGGCGUCGUCGAGCGCAGACAAUACAAGCGCCUCGGACCGAGUCCCCGAACCUGCCCUAGCCAAAAUGGCGGCCGAGAAAGAGCGGAAGUGACGUAAGUGCCUCAUUAGCAUAAGAGGACUCAUUGUCCAGCUAAAUAGGGGGGGGCAGUGGGGACAGCACCCCUAACCCCCUUUUCCCCAGGGGGGGUUCCUCUUACUCCCACCCCUGCUUGCACCUAACUUUUCCUGAGGGAGGGUGCUCUCAGCACCCCCACCCCCGCUUGAGGGAAAUUAUAUAAUCCCCACUGAGGGGGGAGCUCUCGCGAGAACCAGGCGGAUUUGCCAUUGACCCACUAGGAGGCGCCGCGGAUAAUGGCCGCAGUGCGCUCCCG
rnacentral:lncRNA from 1 species